CGGAUCGUAAAGCUCUGUUGUUAGGGAAGAACAAGUGCGAGAGUAACUGCUCGCACCUUGACGGUACCUAACCAGAAAGCCACGGCUAACUACGUGCCAGCAGCCGCGGUAAUACGUAGGUGGCAAGCGUUGUCCGGAAUUAUUGGGCGUAAAGGGCUCGCAGGCGGUUUCUUAAGUCUGAUGUGAAAGCCCCCGGCUCAACCGGGGAGGGUCAUUGGAAACUGGGAAACUUGAGUGCAGAAGAGGAGAGUGGAAUUCCACGUGUAGCGGUGAAAUGCGUAGAGAUGUGGAGGAACACCAGUGGCGAAGGCGACUCUCUGGUCUGUAACUGACGCUGAGGAGCG
rnacentral:rRNA from 1 species